GCAUCCCAGAUUGUUACAACGAAACGAAAUAUUUCUCGUGACAAGCAGAAAAGCAUGAGAAUGUUUUCUAAUCAUUUAAAAGACGCAAUAUCCUACUGAGCUACUGUAUUUUGAUUGGUUAAUCGUUUGACGAGCUUUUUGGACGGGUUCCCUGUAAUGUAUGACUAAGUAGGCGGACGUCAAAGCAAGAAUUACAUAUAUCGGUAUAAUACAAUAGACAGUCAUGGGUGCAGUUAUUUAUUUUGUUCAUAGAUCGAAUUAUGUGAAUCCUUCAAAGUGCUGUGCAUGUGCAUGAUUAUUACAUAAAUAAGUGAUCAUGAAUAUGUAUUUAAUAAAAUACUAUCACGAUAUAUACCACGUAAAAACGCACAAGUUGUAACAAACCUGCAGCAGACUUGUAGCAAUGCUGUUCCAACAACUUGUCAACAGGAUGUGUUCGCACUGCUUGUUCCCAGCUUGGUGACAAGUUGUCAACGGCAUGUUGAUAACUUACUACAAGGUUGUUGAGCUCAACAGACCUGUUACACGUUGUUGCAACAACUUCUUAUUGUCCUGCAAUUCAACAUUUGUCAACAAGUUGUAAGUGACAACCUUGUAGCAACUUAAUA